rfam:Tncinocarpus reesii 1704 scaffold_2 genomic scaffold, whole genome shotgun sequence.
GGUUUCGUGGUCUAGGGGUUAUGACACCGGAUUUUGAUACAUCGAAUAUUCCGGUUGCCUGGGUUCGAAUCCCAGCGAGACCU